GCCGGCGUGGCGCAAUCGUAGCGCGUUGCUUUCCUAUCACCAUAUAUAUACAUCCAUCUGGCUGUGGGUUCGAAUCCCACCGUCGGUU
rnacentral:tRNA from 1 species